AAUCAACGCUGGCGGCGUGCCUCAGACAUGCAAGUCGAACGCGAAAGUUUCCUUCGGGAGAUGAGUAGAGUGGCGCACGGGUGAGUAACACGUAGGUAAUUUGCCUUUGGGUGGGGAAUACCAACCGGAAACGGUUGUUAAUACCGCAUAAUGCAGCGGCAUCAUAAGAUGACAGUUGUUAAAGCGGGGGAUUCGUAAGAACCUCGCGCCUAAAGAGGAGCCUGCGGCGGACUAGGUAGNGGUGAGGUAAUGGCUCACCAAGCCUGCGAUCCGUAACCGACCUGAGAGGGUGGUCGGUCACACUGACACUGACAUACGGGUCAGACUCCUACGGGAGGCAGCAGUCGGGAAUUUUGGGCAAUGGGCGCAAGCCUGACCCAGCAACGCCGCGUGAAGGAUGAAGCAUUUCGGUGUGUAAACUUCGCAAGAACAGGAAGAAUAAGUGAAUACUAAUACCGUUCAUGAUGACGGUACUGUUUGUAAGCUCCGGCUAACUCCGUG
rnacentral:rRNA from 1 species